UCCCCCGUGGCGCAACUGGCUAGCGCGUCAGACUGUUACUCUCUCUACUCUUCACGAGAAAAUGGACGGAAAAGACAUCUGGAGGUUCUCAGUUCAAUCCUGAGCGGGGGAG
rnacentral:tRNA from 1 species